CAACUGGAGAGUUUGAUCCUGGCUCAGAGCGAACGUUAGCGGCGGGCCUAACACAUGCAAGUCGAACGAGAACGCUCCUUCGGGAGUUAUUAAAGUGGCGCACACAUUCCGAAAGGAAUGCUAAUACCGCGUAAGACCACACUCACCACGGUGAGAGAGGUUAAAGGUGCCUCAAAGCACCACCAAAGGAUGAGCCUGCGUCCCAUCAGCUUGUUGGUAAGGUAAUGGCUUACCAAGGCUAAGACGGGUAGCUGGUCUGAGAGGAUGAUCAGCCACACUGGCACUGGAACACGGGCCAGACUCCUACGGGAGGCAGCAGUGAGGAAUAUUGGGCAAUGGGCGAAAGCCUGACCCAGCCACGCCGCGUGUGUGAUGAAGGCCUUCGGGUCGUAAAGCACUGUGGGGAGAGACGAAAAAGCGCAUGAGGAAAUGCUUGCGCCUUGACGGUACCUCCUUAGCAAGCACCGGCUAACUCUGUGCCAGCAGCCGCGGUAAUACAGAGGGUGCGAACGUUGCUCGGAUUUACUGGGCGUAAAGCGCGUGUAGGCGGACUCGCAAGUCGGUUGUGAAAUCCCUGGGCUUAACCUAGGAACUGCAUCCGAAACUGCUUGUCUUGAGUAAUGGAGAGGGUGGCGGAAUUCCCGGUGUAGAGGUGAAAUUCGUAGAUAUCGGGAGGAACAUCAGUGGCGAAGGCGGCCACCUGGACAUUUACUGACGCUGAGAAGCGGAUAUUGACCUCUGCUGUGCCGUAGCUAACGCGUUAAGUUCUCCGCCUGGGGAGUACGGCCGCAAGGCUAAAACUCAAAGGAAUUGACGGGGGCCCGCACAAGCAGUGGAGCAUGUGGUUUAAUUCGAAGCAACGCGCAGAACCUUACCAGGGCUAGACAAACUAAGAA
rnacentral:rRNA from 1 species